rnacentral:rRNA from 1 species
CAGCCGCCGCGUUAAUACAGAGGGUGCGAGCGUUAAUCGGAUUUACUGGGCGUAAAGCGUGCGUAGGCGGCUUCUUAAGUCGGAUGUGAAAUCCCUGAGCUUAACUUAGGAAUUGCAUUCGAUACUGGGAAGCUAGAGUAUGGGAGAGGAUGGUAGAAUUCCAGGUGUAGCGGUGAAAUGCGUAGAGAUCUGGAGGAAUACCGAUGGCGAAGGCAGCCAUCUGGCCUAAUACUGACGCUGAGGUACGAAAGCAUGGGGAGCAAACAGGAUUAGAUACCCCCGUAGUCCCUGUCUCUUAUAC